rnacentral:tRNA from 1 species
CGGAGCGUGGCGCAGUUUGGUAGCGCACUUGACUGGGGGUCAAGAGGUCGCCGGUUCAAAUCCGGCCGCCCCGACCA